rnacentral:rRNA from 1 species
UACGGGGGGGUAAGCGUUGUUCGGAAUUACUGGGCGUAAAGGGCUCGUAGGCGGCCAACUAAGUCAGACGUGAAAUCCCUCAGCUUAACUGGGGAACUGCGUCUGAUACUGGAUGGCUUGGAUCCGGGAGAGGGAUGCGGAAUUCCAGGUGUAGCGGUGAAAUGCGUAGAUAUCUGGAGGAACACCGGGUGGCGAAGGCGGCAUCCUGGACCGGUAUUGACGCGUGAGGAGCGAAAGCCAGGGGAGCAAAGCAGG